GACGAACGCUGGCGGCGUGCUUCAGACAUGCAAGUCGAGCGGGCGGAGGCCGAACCGCAAGGUGAGGCUGAAGCCAGCGGCGAACGGGUGAGUAACACGUGGGUAAUCUGCCCGGAAGACUGGGAUAACGGUUCGAAAGGACCGCUAAUACCGGAUAGUGUCGUCUUUUCGCAUGAAAGGACGAAGAAAGGCUUCGGCCACUUUCGGAUGAGCCCGCGUCCCAUCAGCUGGUUGGUGAGGUAAAGGCUCACCAAGGCAACGACGGGUAGCCGGUCUGAGAGGAUGGUCGGCCACACUGGGACUGAGAUACGGCCCAGACUCCUACGGGAGGCAGCAGUCGGGAAUCUUGGGCAAUGGGCGGAAGCCUGACCCAGCGACGCCGCGUGAGGGAAGAAGGCCUUCGGUCGUAACCUCUGUCAUGGGGACGAAGGAAGUGACGGUACCCCGAACGAGGAAGCCCUCGCUAACUACGUGCCAGCAGCCGCGGUAAGUCAUACUCGUA
rnacentral:rRNA from 1 species